AUUGAACGCUGGCGGCAUGCUUUACACAUGCAAGUCGGAGGCAGUUGCGAACGGGUGAGUAACGUGUAGGUAAAUGCCUGGUAGCGGGGGAUAACUAUUGGAAACGAUAGCUAAUACCGCAUACUACCAGAUGGAUCUGCGUUGUAUUAGCUAGUUGGUGGGGUAACGGCUCACCAAGGCAACGAUACAUAGCCGACCUGGGAGGGUGGUCGGCCACACUGGGACUGGGACAAGGCCCAGACUCCUUCGGGAGGCAGCAGUAGGGAAUCUUCGGCAAUGGACGGAAGUCUGACCGAGCAACGCCGCGGGAGUGAAGAAGGUUUUCGGGUCGUAAAGCUCUGUUGUAAGAGAAGCGUUAUCUUACCAGAAAGGGACGGCUAACUACGUGCCAGCCGCCGCGGUAAUAC
rnacentral:rRNA from 1 species